GAUGAACGCUGACAGAAUGCUUAACACAUGCAAGUCUUUGGCGAAGCUGUGCUUGCACAGCCUAGCCAAGGCGGACGGGUGAGUAACGCGUAAGGAACUUGCCCUGCAGUCAGCGAUAACAGACGGAAACGACUGAUAAGACCUGGUAAAGUCAGGCGGACUCAUGUCCAGCCUGAUGAAAAGAGAUGCUGCAGGAGAGCCUUGCGUCCUAUUAGCUUGUUGGUGGGGUAACGGCCCACCAAGGCGAUGAUAGGUAGCCGGCCUGAGAGGGUGGACGGCCACAAGGGGACUGAGAUACGGCCCUUACUCCUACGGGAGGCAGCAGUGGGGAAUAUUGGACAAUGGGGGCAACCCUGAUCCAGCAAUUCUGUGUGCACGAUGAAGGUUUUCGGAUUGUAAAGGGCUUUCAGCAGGGAAGAAAAAAAUGACGGUACCUGCAGAAGAAGCGACGGCUAAAUACGUG
rnacentral:rRNA from 1 species